AUGGGUAUGUCCCUCCAGUCCUUUCUGAUGCGACUGUGGCGAGCUUGCGGUGUGGCGAGCGGCGAAGACCAUGAGGAACUCACCAAGAAGAAGAAUGGCAGGAUGGCGGGCACCAAGAAAAGGGCAGGGAAGAAGAGCAAGAAAGGGAGGGGGAAGAAGAAUCGGGAGGAGGAGGAGGAAGACAAGAACAAGGAAGAGGAGGAGGAGACGCUCGAGAACAGCGACCAAGAUGCCCAAGAGGAUGAGGUUGAGAUCAAGAAAAAGAACAAGGCGGCCAAGAACAAAAUGUGCCGAGCCAAGAAGGCCAACAAGACUAAGCGCAGAAAGGAGGAGAAGGCCAAGAAAAGGUCCAGGGAGAAGAAGCAUGAAGACAAGGAGGAGGAGGAGGAGGAGAUUAAGGAAGAAGAGGAGAAACAUGCCAAGAAGGAGGCACUCCAGGCCAGGAAGAAGAAAGAGGAAGCCAUGGAGAAGAAGGCGCUCGCGGCCAAGGAGGAGGAGGACAAGAAGCACGCCAGGAGAAGGAUGAAGGAGGCCAUCAAGAUGAGGGAGGAGGCCAAGGAGAGGAAGGAGGACAAGGGCACAAGGCCAAGGCUUCCGCGGGCAUGGACGGAGCUAGAGGACAUGGAACCGGUCCAGCAGCAGCUAUCGGUACGUGACGUGUACAUGCUCAGCCGUGAGCUUGUCACGUCAAAGGAGAGUACAAUGAAGGCACUUAAGGAGUUGAAUGACUCCCUGAAGAAAGAGAAGGAAGAGAUGAUCGAUGAGAACUCUGAUCUCUGCGAUAAGAAAUUGAAGCUCAUCGACCAGAAGGAGCUAUUGGUCACCGAGAUCGAGUCUAUGAAGAAGGAGAUACGGCUCCUGAAGGACGAGAGGGAGGAACUGAAGACCCGCAAAAUCUAUUCCAGAAAGGAGGGACAGAGCAACAGGAACAAGUUACGUGAGAUGAGGAUCAUUCUUCAUCAUAGCUAGGCUGUCGAUGCCCUUGCGGUCAUCCUGAAUAAGGCCAAAGCCUGCGGUCAUAUCCGGGGCGUCGUCCCCCACCUUGUGGACGGAGGAGGGGUCUCCCUCCUCCAAUAUGCGGACGACGCCAUUAUCAUGGUGGAGGGCUCCGCGUCCGACAUCGCCAACCUGAAGUUCCUCCUCCUGUGUUUCCAACAGAUGUCAGGACUCACCAUCAACUUCGACAAGAGCGAAGUGAUGGUCCUCGGCUACCCCCCGGACGAAGCUUUGUCCAUUGCGGGCCGGCUUAACUGCCGCCUGGGCACCUUCCCCACUACCUACUUGGGGGUGCCCAUUAGUGACUCCAGACUCACCGUCGCGGAUCUUCGCCCGAUGGUGACUAGGAUGCAGCACAGGGUUGAACCCUGGAGGGGACGUUGGCUGUCGAAAGCGGCUAGGGUGAAAUCAACUCCUCGCUUGCUAGCCUUCUCUGGUUUCUCAUGA
rnacentral:rRNA from 1 species